AUGUGGUUUAAUUCGAUGCAACGCGAAAACCUUACCACCUUGACAUGGCAGGAAGUAUUCAGAGAUGGAUACGUGCCCGAAGGGAACCUGCACACAGGUGCUGCAUGGCUGUCGUCAGCUCGUGUCGUGAGAUGUUGGGUUAAGUCCCGCAACGAGCGCAACCCUUGCCAUUAGUUGCUACGAAAGGGCACUCUAAUGGGACUGCCGGUGACAAACCGGAGGAAGGUGGGGAUGACGUCAAGUCCUCAUGGCCCUUAUAGGUGGGGCUACACACGUCAUACAAUGGCUGGUACAGAGGGUUGCCAACCCGCGAGGGGGAGCUAAUCCCAUAAAGCCAGUCGUAGUCCGGAUCGCAGUCUGCAACUCGACUGCGUGAAGUCGGAAUCGCUAGUAAUCGCGGAUCAGAAUGUCGCGGUGAAUACGUUCCCGGGUCUU
rnacentral:rRNA from 1 species